rnacentral:rRNA from 1 species
CCUACGGGUGACAGCAGUGGGGGAUAUUGCACAAUGGGGGAAACCCUGAUGCAGCGAAGCCGCGUGUGGGAAGACGGUCCUCUGGAUUGUAAACCACUGUCCCCAGGGACGAAGAUGACGGUACCUGGGGAGGAAGCUCCGGCUAACUACGUACCAGCAGCCGCGGUACUACGUAGGGGGCGCGCGUUGUCCGGAUUUACUGGGUGUAAAGGGAGCGUAGGCGGGACUGCAAGUUGGGGGUCAAAUCUACCGGCUCAACCGGUAGCCGCACUCAAAACUGCAGUUCGUGAGUGAAGGAGAGGCAGGCGGAAUUCGUGGUGUAGCGGUGAAAUGCGUAGAUAUUAGGAGGAACACCAGUGGCGAAGGCGGCCUGCUGUGCUUUUACUGACGCUGAGGCUCGAAAGUGUGGGGAGCAAACAGGAUUAGAUACCCUGGUAGUC